AAAGCAGAUCGCCUUAUCGCUAUUCGCUUAUGUGAAUAGAGGAAAGUCCGAACACCAUAGUGCAGUAUAGUGGCUAACAGCCAUCGGCCGCGAGGUUAGGAAUAGUGCAACAGAAAGAAUGUACAGGUUAUGCUGUAGUGAAAUCAUGUAAACUCUAUACGGUGCAAUGUCAUGUAAAUCAGUGUUUGAGUGCGGCACGUGCGAUAUUGAAGGGUAGGCAGCUAAAGUUUUUUGGUAACAACAAACGUAGAUAAAUGAUAAGGGCUCUUUUUUUGAGUACAGAAUUCGGCUUACAGAUCUGCUUUUUUU
rnacentral:RNase_P_RNA from 1 species